rnacentral:rRNA from 1 species
GACGAACGCUGGCGGCGUGCUUAACACAUGCAAGUCGAACGAAGUGGCGAACGGGUGAGUACUACGUGGGUCACCUGCCCUCCGUUUUGGGAUAAGCCUUGGAAACGGUGUCUAAUACCUACUCUAGGGGGAUGGGCUCGCGGCCUAUCCGCGUGUGGGGGGGGUGAUGGCCUACCACGGCGGUGACGGGUCGCCGGCCUGAGAGGGUGACAGGCCACAGUGGGACUGAGAUACGGACCAGACACGGACGGGAGGGAGCAGUAGGGCAUAGUGCACAAUGAGCGAAAGACUGAUGCGGCGACGCCGAGUGGGGGAUGAAGGCUUUAGGGUAGUAAACCUGUUGCGCUAGCGAACGGGUAGGUGGAGAAGAAGCGCCGGCUAACUACGUGCCAGAAGCCGCGGUAAUUC